GAUGAAGAACGUAGCGAAAUGCGAUAAGUAAUGUGGAUUGCAGAAUUCAGUGAAUCAUCGAAUCUUUGAACGCACAUUGCGCCCGCCAGUAUUCUGGCGGGCAUGCCUGUUCGAGCGUCAUUUCAACCCUCAGGCCCCCAGUGCCUGGUGUUGGGGAUCGGCCCAGCCUUCCUGUAAGGCCGCCGGCCCCGAAAUCUAGUGGCGGUCUCGCUGUAGUCCUCCUCUGCGUAGUAGCACAACCUCGCAGUUGGAACGCGGCGGUGGCCAUGCCGUUAAACACCCCACUUCUGAAAGUUGACCUCGGAUCAGGUAGGAAUACCCGCUGAACUUAAGCAUAUCAAUAAGCGGAGGA
rnacentral:misc_RNA from 1 species